UACGGAGGGAGCUAGCGUUGUUCGGAAUUACUGGGCGUAAAGCGUACGUAGGCGGUUAUCCAAGUCAGAGGUGAAAGCCUGGAGCUCAACUCCAGAACUGCCUUUGAAACUAGGUAGCUAGAAUCACGGAGAGGUUAGUGGAAUUCCGAGUGUAGAGGUGAAAUUCGUAGAUAUUCGGAAGAACACCAGUGGCGAAGGCGACUAACUGGACGUGUAUUGACGCUGAGGUACGAAAGCGUGGGGAGCAAACAGG
rnacentral:rRNA from 1 species